GACGAACGCUGGCGGCGUGCUUAACACAUGUAAGUCGAACGGAAAGGCCCUGCUUUUGUGGGGUGCUCGAGUGGCGAACGGGUGAGUAACACGUGAGUAACCUGCCCUUGACUUUGGGAUAACUUCAGGAAACUGGGGCUAAUACCGGAUAGGAGCUCCUGCUGCAUGGUGGGGGUUGGAAAGUUUCGGCGGUUGGGGAUGGACUCGCGGCUUAUCAGCUUGUUGGUGGGGUAGUGGCUUACCAAGGCUUUGACGGGUAGCCGGCCUGAGAGGGUGACCGGCCACAUUGGGACUGAGAUACGGCCCAGACUCCUACGGGAGGCAGCAGUGGGGAAUAUUGCACAAUGGGCGGAAGCCUGAUGCAGCAACGCCGCGUGCUGGAUGACGGCCUUCGGGUUGUAAACCGCUUUCGCCUGUGACGAAGCGUGAGUGACGGUAAUGGGUAAAGAAGCACCGGCUAACUACGUG
rnacentral:rRNA from 1 species